rnacentral:rRNA from 1 species
AACGAACGCUGGCGGCAUGCCUAACACAUGCAAGUCGAACGAAGCCUUCGGGCUUAGUGGCGCACGGGUGCGUAACGCGUGGGAAUCUGCCCUUGGGUUCGGAAUAACAGUUAGAAAUGACUGCUAAUGCCGGAUGAUGUCUUCGGACCAAAGAUUUAUCGCCCAAGGAUGAGCCCGCGUAGGAUUAGGUAGUUGGUGGGGUAAUGGCCCACCAAGCCGACGAUCCUUAGCUGGUCUGAGAGGAUGAUCAGCCACACUGGGACUGAGACACGGCCCAGACUCCUACGGGAGGCAGCAGUGGGGAAUAUUGGACAAUGGGCGAAAGCCUGAUCCAGCAAUGCCGCGUGAGUGAUGAAGGCCUUAGGGUUGUAAAGCUCUUUUACCAGGGAUGAUAAUGACAGUACCUGGAGAAUAAGCUCCGGCUAACUUCGUGCCAGCCGCCGCCGUAAUAC